AUUGAACGCUGGCGGCAGGCUUAACACAUGCAAGUCGAGCGAGCGGCGGACGGGUGAGUAAUGUCUGGGAAACUGCCUGAUGGAGGGGGAUAACUACUGGAAACGGUAGCUAAUAACGCAUACCCUCAGAUGUGCCCAGAUGGGAUUAGCUAGUAGGAUGGGUAAUGGCUCACCUAGGCGACGAUCCCUAGCUGCUCUGAGAGGAUGACCACCCACACUGUAACUGAGACACGGGCCGGACCCCUACGGGAGGCAGCAGUGGGGAAGUUUGCACAAUGGGCGCAAGGCUGAUGCAGCCAUGCCGCGUGUGCGAAGAAGGCUUUCGGGUUGUAAAGCACUUUCAGCUAGGAGGCGUUACUCGAAGAAGAAGCACCGGCUAACUCCGUGCCAGCAGCCGCGGUAAUAC
rnacentral:rRNA from 1 species